rnacentral:rRNA from 1 species
GGGGAAUAUUGGACAAUGGGGGCAACCCUGAUCCAGCCAUGCCGCGUGUGUGAAGAAGGCCUUUUGGUUGUAAAGCACUUUAAGCAGGGAGGAGAGGCUAAUGGUUAAUACCCAUUAGAUUAGACGUUACCUGCAGAAUAAGCACCGGCUAACUCUGUGCCAGCAGCCGCGGUAAUACAGAGGGUGCGAGCGUUAAUCGGGAUUACUGGGCGUAAAGCGAGUGUAGGUGGCUCAUUAAGUCACAUGUGAAAUCCCCGGGCUUAACCUGGGAACUGCAUGUGAUACUGGUGGUGCUAGAAUAUGUGAGAGGGAAGUAGAAUUCCAGGUGUAGCGGUGAAAUGCGUAGAGAUCCGGAGGAAUACCGAUGGCGAAGGCAGCUUCCUGGCAUAAUAUUGACACUGAGAUUCGAAAGCGUGGGUAGCAAACAGGAUUAGAUACCCUGGUAGUCCACGCCGUAAACGAUGUCUACUAGCCGUUGGGGUCCUUGAGACUUUAGUGGCGCAGUUAACGCGAUAAGUAGACCGCCUGGGGAGUACGGCCGCAAGGUUA